rnacentral:misc_RNA from 1 species
GUGCACUGGAGAAUGAGAACUGAGAAGACAAGAAGUACCAAGUCUAUAGUUUAGUUAGCGGAGCCGAAUAGUCAAUGGCAGAUCGGAAUGGACUUCUUACUUACGCUUACAUUCUUCUUUACAUCGCCCUCUCUAGUGGCCAGAUCUUCUUUAACAAGUGGGUUUUGUCUUCUAAGGAAAUAAACUUUCCUUAUCCUCUUGGAU